rnacentral:lncRNA from 1 species
UUUUAUCGCUUUUCGAUUAACUUUGAAAAGCAUGCUCAGAAAAAUUUGUAUUUGAAAGAAAAGAAAAGGAAAAGUAUAAUAUGUGAUGUAGAAUGUAUUAAGUGAAUUGAAUGCAUGUAAUAACUUAGUUGUUUAUGUUUUUGAUACUUUCUUAUGCAAUUUGUAUGUUGAAUAUCGUUCCUGGUAGGAACCUCUUGUAAUGUAUUGAUUGCGACGCCUUGGACGUACAGGGGAGACUCUGUCCGCGGUAUAGGAAAAAUCAUGUCCGUUCGGCGGUCUGUUGGCGUGCCCGAAUGCGACCAAAGAGGCGGGUUCG